GCAUAUCAAUAAGCGGAGGAAAAGAAACUAACAAGGAUUCCCCUAGUAACUGCGAGUGAAGCGGGAAAAGCUCAAAUUUGUAAUCUGGCGGUCUUGGGCCGUCCGAAUUGUAAACUAGAGAAGCGUUAUCCGCGCUGGACCGUGUACAAGUCCCCUGGAAUGGGGCGUCAUAGAGGGUGAGAAUCCCGUCUUUGACACGGACUACCAGGGCUUUGUGAUGCGCUCUCAAAGAGUCGAGUUGUUUGGGAAUGCAGCUCAAAAUGGGUGGUAAAUUCCAUCUAAAGCUAAAUAUUGGCGAGAGACCGAUAGCGAACAAGUACCGUGAGGGAAAGAUGAAAAGAACUUUGGAAAGAGAGUUAAACAGUACGUGAAAUUGCUGAAAGGGAAACGCUUGAAGUCAGUCGCGUUGGCUAGGGAUCAGCCUUACUCUGGUGGGGUGUAUUUCCUUGUCGACGGGUCAGCAUCAGUUUUGGUUGCUGGAUAAAGGCCAGGGGAAUGUGGCACCUUCGGGUGUGUUAUAGCCCUUGGUCAGAUACAGUGGCUGGGACUGAGGAACUCAGCACGCGCAAGCUGUGCUUAGGAUGCUGGCAAAAUGGCUUUAAUCGACCCGUCUUGAAACACGGACCAAGGAGUCUAACAUGCUUGCGAGU
rnacentral:rRNA from 1 species